GCAGUUAUUUUUUAGAAUGUUCCACCGGUUAGGUUUGUCUGUUUGCUUAUUUUUUAAUCCUCACCAGAGGAUAUGCUUUUAUGGAUUUUUAGAGAUUGGGGGGCGGGGGAGGAGAGUGAGAGAAACAUCAAUCAGUUGCCGCUGUUCUCACCCCUCCCCACGGGGACUCCAACUGGCGCACAGAACAACUCAGCCCGCUGAGCCGGCGGCCUGCGCACUGACGGGCUCAGGAAUUCCGCUUGUCUUUUCCAUCAUCUGAUUUUCUAGCUGACAUCAUUGGGCUGCAGAAGAAAUGACCCUCUAGGGAUCUGUCCAAGACAAGUCACAGGUUUUCCUGAGUGUGCAAACUUUGUACCUACCAAAUGUAAUGGUCUGUAACAGACAGAAGUCCGUCCUCUCUUUGGACUUGGCUGUGGAAUGGUCCCUGAGAGCCGGAGCCAGGAGCCCGAACGGAAGAGCUGGAUUUGGGUUGGGACACUGCCCCCUGAAGCUCCUUGGAGAGGCAGGUUCCCAGGCUCAGCGGCAGCCUCCCUGCAGCCCGGAGAGCUCCGAAGCCAGCAGCGCUGCGGGCUCCUGUCCCGCUGGCCUCCGAGCGGUGGGAGCUGGGCACUGCGUACCUCUUGGGAAUCUAGUCCUGGGGGACGCGAGUGCCUGCCUUUGGGUGUGGACAGGCCUGGGGUGGCGCCUCCUGAGCGAGUCACUUCACCUCGUGUGAGUCCAUUUCCUCAGCUGUACGAAAUGAGGAAGUCUUUACUCUCAAGGAUUAUUGUAAAAAUGUAAAGAUCGUUUGUGGAAGUUGACAGAAUAGUGUGCUAUAU